CCUGUGAGGGUUGCUGGAGGUAUCAGAAGUGCGAAUGCUGACAUAAGUAACGAUAAAGCGGGUGAAAAGCCCGCUCGCCGGAAGACCAAGGGUUCCUGUCCAACGUUAAUCGGGGCAGGGUGAGUCGACCCCUAAGGCGAGGCCGAAAGGCGUAGUCGAUGGGAAACGGGUUAAUAUUCCCGUACUUGGUGUUACUGCGAAGGGGGGACGGAGAAGGCUAUGUUGGCCGGGCGACGGUUGUCCCGGUUUAAGCGUGUAGGUGUGUGUUCCAGGUAAAUCCGGUUCACUUUAACACUGAGGCGUGAUGACGAGGCGCUACGGUGCUGAAGCAACAAAUGCCCUGCUUCCAGGAAAAGCCUCUAAGCAUCAGGUAACAUCAAAUCGUACCCCAAACCGACACAGGUGGUCAGGUAGAGAAUACCAAGGCGCUUGAGAGAACUCGGGUGAAGGAACUAGGCAAAAUGGUGCCGUAACUUCGGGAGAAGGCACGCUGACACGUAGGUGAAGUGAUUUACUCAUGGAGCUGAAGUCAGUCGAAGAUACCAGCUGGCUGCAACUGUUUAUUAAAAACACAGCACUGUGCAAACACGAAAGUGGACGUAUACGGUGUGACGCCUGCCCGGUGCCGGAAGGUUAAUUGAUGGGGUCAGCGCAAGCGAAGCUCCUGAUCGAAGCCCCGGUAAACGGCGGCCGUAACUAUAACGGUCCUAAGGUAGCGAAAUUCCUUGUCGGGUAAGUUCCGACCUGCACGAAUGGCGUAAUGAUGGCCAGGCUGUCUCCACCCGAGACUCAGUGAAAUUGAACUCGCUGUGAAGAUGCAGUGUACCCGCGGCAAGACGGAAAGACCCCGUGAACCUUUACUAUAGCUUGACACUGAACAUUGAGCCUUGAUGUGUAGGAUAGGUGGGAGGCUUUGAAGUGUGGACGCCAGUCUGCAUGGAGCCGACCUUGAAAUACCACCCUUUAAUGUUUGAUGUUCUAACGUGGACCCGUGAUCCGGGUUGCGGACAGUGUCUGGUGGGUAGUUUGACUGGGGCGGUCUCCUCCUAAAGAGUAACGGAGGAGCACGAAGGUUGGCUAAUCCUGGUCGGACAUCAGGAGGUUAGUGCAAUGGCAUAAGCCAGCUUGACUGCGAGCGUGACGGCGCGAGCAGGUGCGAAAGCAGGUCAUAGUGAUCCGGUGGUUCUGAAUGGAAGGGCCAUCGCUCAACGGAUAAAAGGUACUCCGGGGAUAACAGGCUGAUACCGCCCAAGAGUUCAUAUCGACGGCGGUGUUUGGCACCUCGAUGUCGGCUCAUCACAUCCUGGGGCUGAAGUAGGUCCCAAGGGUAUGGCUGUUCGCCAUUUAAAGUGGUACGCGAGCUGGGUUUAGAACGUCGUGAGACAGUUCGGUCCCUAUCUGCCGUGGGCGCUGGAGAACUGAGGGGGGCUGCUCCUAGUACGAGAGGACCGGAGUGGACGCAUCACUGGUGUUCGGGUUGUCAUGCCAAUGGCACUGCCCGGUAGCUAAAUGCGGAAGAGAUAAGUGCUGAAAGCAUCUAAGCACGAAACUUGCCCCGA
rnacentral:rRNA from 1 species